rnacentral:rRNA from 1 species
AGAGUUUGAUCAUGGCUCAGGACGAACGCUGGCGGCGUGCUUAACACAUGCAAGUCGAACGGUAAGGCCCUUCGGGGUACACGAGUGGCGAACGGGUGAGUAACACGUGGGUAAUCUGCCCUGCACAUCGGGAUAAGCCUGGGAAACUGGGUCUAAUACCGAAUAGGACCACAGGACACAUGUCCUGUGGUGGAAAGCUUUUGCGGUGUGGGAUGGGCCCGCGGCCUAUUAGCUUGUUGGUGGGGUGAUGGCCUACCAAGGCGACGACGGGUAGCCGGCCUGAGAGGGUGUCCGGCCACACUGGGACUGAGAUACGGCCCAGACUCCUACGGGAGGCAGCAGUGGGGAAUAUUGCACAAUGGGCGAAAGCCUGAUGCAGCGACGCCGCGUGGGGGAUGACGGCCUUCGGGUUGUAAACCUCUUUCACCAUCGACGAAGGUCCGGGUUUUCUCGGGCUGACGGUAGGUGGAGAAGAAGCACCGGCCAACUACGUGCCAGCAGCCGCGGUAAUACGUAGGGUGCGAGCGUUGUCCGGAAUUACUGGGCGUAAAGAGCUCGUAGGUGGUUUGUCGCGUUGUUCGUGAAAUCUCACGGCUUAACUGUGAGCGUGCGGGCGAUACGGGCAGACUUGAGUACUGCAGGGGAGACUGGAAUUCCUGGUGUAGCGGUGGAAUGCGCAGAUAUCAGGAGGAACACCGGUGGCGAAGGCGGGUCUCUGGGCAGUAACUGACGCUGAGGAGCGAAAGCGUGGGGAGCGAACAGGAUUAGAUACCCUGGUAGUCCAA